GAUGAACGCUAGCGGCAGGCUUAACACAUGCAAGUCGAGGGGUAUAGGUUUUCGGACCUAGAGACCGGCGCACGGGUGCGUAACGCGUAUGCAAUCUACCUUUCACAGAGGGAUAGCCCAGAGAAAUUUGGAUUAAUACCUCAUAGUAUAGCAGUUUCGCAUGAAACCACUAUUAAAGUUCCAACGGUGAAAGAUGAGCAUGCGUCCCAUUAGCUAGAUGGUAAGGUAACGGCUUACCAUGGCUACGAUGGGUAGGGGUCCUGAGAGGGAGAUCCCCCACACUGGUACUGAGACACGGACCAGACUCCUACGGGAGGCAGCAGUGAGGAAUAUUGGUCAAUGGACGCAAGUCUGAACCAGCCAUGCCGCGUGCAGGAUGACGGUCCUAUGGAUUGUAAACUGCUUUUGUACGAGAAGAAACAUUCCGACGUGUCGGAACUUGACGGUAUCGUAAGGAUAAGGAUCGGCUAACUCCGUGCCAGCAGCCGCAGUAAAAC
rnacentral:rRNA from 1 species